GACGAACGCGGCGGCGUGCCUAAUACAUGCAAGUAGAACGCUGAAGGAAGGAGCUUGCUCUUUCCGGAUGAGUUGCGAACGGGUGAGUAACGCGUAGGUAACCUGCCUGGUAGCGGGGGAUAACUAUUGGAAACGAUAGCUAAUACCGCAUAAUAGCAGUUAUUGCAUGAUAACUGUUUGAAAGGUGCAAAUGCAUCACUACCAGAUGGACCUGCGUUGUAUUAGCUAGUUGGUGGGGUAACGGCUCACCAAGGCGACGAUACAUAGCCGACCUGAGAGGGUGAUCGGCCACACUGGGACUGAGACACGGCCCAGACUCCUACGGGAGGCAGCAGUAGGGAAUCUUCGGCAAUGGACGGAAGUCUGACCGAGCAACGCCGCGUGAGUGAAGAAGGUUUUCGGAUCGUAAAGCUCUGUUGUAAGAGAAGAACGAGUGUGAGAGUGGAAAGUUCACACUGUGACGUAUCUACCAGAAAGGACGCA
rnacentral:rRNA from 1 species